rnacentral:rRNA from 1 species
UACGAAGGGGGCUAGCGUUGCUCGGAUUUAUUGGGCGUAAAGAGCGUGUAGGCGGCCAGACAGGUCCGUUGUGAAAACUGGAGGCUCAACCUCCAGACGUCGAUGGAAACCGUCUGGCUAGAGUCCGGAAGAGGAGAGUGGAAUUCCUGGUGUAGCGGUGAAAUGCGCAGAUAUCAGGAAGAACACCCGUGGCGAAAGCGGCUCUCUGGGACGGUACUGACGCUGAGACGCGAAAGCGUGGGGAGCGAACAGG